CGUACGCAACGAAACAUCGCCAA
rnacentral:siRNA from 1 species